rnacentral:rRNA from 1 species
GGGUUGUGAGGUUAAGCGACUAAGCGUACACGGUGGAUGCCCUGGCAGUCAGAGGCGAUGAAGGACGUGCUAAUCUGCGAUAAGCGUCGGUAAGGUGAUAUGAACCGUUAUAACCGGCGAUUUCCGAAUGGGGAAACCCAGUGUGNNCACAUAUUGUGAGCUCGAUGAGUAGGGCGGGACACGUGGUAUCCUGUCUGAAUAUGGGGGGACCAUCCUCCAAGGCUAAAUACUCCUGACUGACCGAUAGUGAACCAGUACCGUGAGGGAAAGGCGAAAAGAACCCCGGCGAGGGGAGUGAAAAAGAACCUGAAACCGUGUACGUACAAGCAGUGGGAGCACGCUUAGGCGUGUGACUGCGUACCUUUUGUAUAAUGGGUCAGCGACUUAUAUUCUGUAGCAAGGUUAACCGAAUAGGGGAGCCGAAGGGAAACCGAGUCUUAACUGGGCGUUAAGUUGCAGGGUAUAGACCCGAAACCCGGUGAUCUAGCCAUGGGCAGGUUGAAGGUUGGGUAACACUAACUGGAGGACCGAACCGACUAAUGUUGAAAAAUUAGCGGAUGACUUGUGGCUGGGGGUGAAAGGCCAAUCAAACCGGGAGAUAGCUGGUUCUCCCCGAAAGCUAUUUAGGUAGCGCCUCGUGAAUUCAUCUCCGGGGGUAGAGCACUGUUUCGGCAAGGGGGUCAUCCCGACUUACCAACCCGAUGCAAACUGCGAAUACCGGAGAAUGUUAUCACGGGAGACACACGGCGGGUGCUAACGUCCGUCGUGAAGAGGGAAACAACCCAGACCGCCAGCUAAGGUCCCAAAGUCAUGGUUAAGUGGGAAACGAUGUGGGAAGGCCCAGACAGCCAGGAUGUUGGCUUAGAAGCAGCCAUCAUUUAAAGAAAGCGUAAUAGCUCACUGGUCGAGUCGGCCUGCGCGGAAGAUGUAACGGGGCUAAACCAUGCACCGAAGCUGCGGCAGCGACGCUUAUGCGUUGUUGGGUAGGGGAGCGUUCUGUAAGCCUGCGAAGGUGUGCUGUGAGGCAUGCUGGAGGUAUCAGAAGUGCGAAUGCUGACAUAAGUAACGAUAAAGCGGGUGAAAAGCCCGCUCGCCGGAAGACCAAGGGUUCCUGUCCAACGUUAAUCGGGGCAGGGUGAGUCGACCCCUAAGGCGAGGCCGAAAGGCGUAGUCGAUGGGAAACAGGUUAAUAUUCCUGUACUUGGUGUUACUGCGAAGGGGGGACGGAGAAGGCUAUGUUGGCCGGGCGACGGUUGUCCCGGUUUAAGCGUGUAGGCUGGUUUUCCAGGCAAAUCCGGAAAAUCAAGGCUGAGGCGUGAUGACGAGGCACUACGGUGCUGAAGCAACAAAUGCCCUGCUUCCAGGAAAAGCCUCUAAGCAUCAGGUAACAUCAAAUCGUACCCCAAACCGACACAGGUGGUCAGGUAGAGAAUACCAAGGCGCUUGAGAGAACUCGGGUGAAGGAACUAGGCAAAAUGGUGCCGUAACUUCGGGAGAAGGCACGCUGAUAUGUAGGUGAAGUCCCUUGCGGAUGGAGCUGAAAUCAGUCGAAGAUACCAGCUGGCUGCAACUGUUUAUUAAAAACACAGCACUGUGCAAACACGAAAGUGGACGUAUACGGUGUGACGCCUGCCCGGUGCCGGAAGGUUAAUUGAUGGGGUCAGCGCAAGCGAAGCUCUUGAUCGAAGCCCCGGUAAACGGCGGCCGUAACUAUAACGGUCCUAAGGUAGCGAAAUUCCUUGUCGGGUAAGUUCCGACCUGCACGAAUGGCGUAAUGAUGGCCAGGCUGUCUCCACCCGAGACUCAGUGAAAUUGAACUCGCUGUGAAGAUGCAGUGUACCCGCGGCAAGACGGAAAGACCCCGUGAACCUUUACUAUAGCUUGACACUGAACAUUGAGCCUUGAUGUGUAGGAUAGGUGGGAGGCUUUGAAGUGUGGACGCCAGUCUGCAUGGAGCCGGCCUUGAAAUACCACCCUUUAAUGUUUGAUGUUCUAACGUGGACCCGUGAUCCGGGUUGCGGACAGUGUCUGGUGGGUAGUUUGACUGGGGCGGUCUCCUCCUAAAGAGUAACGGAGGAGCACGAAGGUUGGCUAAUCCUGGUCGGACAUCAGGAGGUUAGUGCAAUGGCAUAAGCCAGCUUGACUGCGAGCGUGACGGCGCGAGCAGGUGCGAAAGCAGGUCAUAGUGAUCCGGUGGUUCUGAAUGGAAGGGCCAUCGCUCAACGGAUAAAAGGUACUCCGGGGAUAACAGGCUGAUACCGCCCAAGAGUUCAUAUCGACGGCGGUGUUUGGCACCUCGAUGUCGGCUCAUCACAUCCUGGGGCUGAAGUAGGUCCCAAGGGUAUGGCUGUUCGCCAUUUAAAGUGGUACGCGAGCUGGGUUUAGAACGUCGUGAGACAGUUCGGUCCCUAUCUGCCGUGGGCGCUGGAGAACUGAGGGGGGCUGCUCCUAGUACGAGAGGACCGGAGUGGACGCAUCACUGGUGUUCGGGUUGUCAUGCCAAUGGCACUGCCCGGUAGCUAAAUGCGGAAGAGAUAAGUGCUGAAAGCAUCUAAGCACGAAACUUGCCCCGAGAUGAGUUCUCCCUGACCCUUUAAGGGUCCUGAAGGAACGUUGAAGACGACGACGUUGAUAGGCCGGGUGUGUAAGCGCAGCGAUGCGUUGAGCUAACCGGUACUAAUGAACCGUGAGGCUUAACCUUACAAC